rnacentral:rRNA from 1 species
CCUACGGGAGGCAGCAGUGAGGAAUAUUGGUCAAUGGACGAGAGUCUGAACCAGCAAAGUAGCGUGAAGGAUGAAUGCCCUAUGGGUUGUAACCUUCUUUUAUAAAGGAAUAAAACGAGGCACGUGUGCCUUUUUGCAUGUACUUUAUGAAUAAGGAUCGGCUAACUCCGUGCCAGCAGCCGCGGUAAUACGGAGGAUCCGAGCGUUAUCCGGAUUUAUUGGGUUUAAGGGGAGCGUAGAUGGGUUGUUAAGUCAGUUGUGAAAGUUUGCGGCGAAACCGUAGAAGUGCAAUUGAUACUGGCAGUCUUGAGUACAGUUGAGGUAGGCGGAAUUCGUGGUGUAGCGGUGAAAUGCUUAGAUAUCACGAAGAACCCCGAUUGCGAAGGCAGCUUACUAAACUGUGACUGACAUUGAUGCUCGAAAGUGUGGGUAUCAAACAGGAUUAGAUACCCUGGUAGUC